ensembl:miRNA
UGACUGACUCACUGCUGUGUUUUAUGGCUUUCUAUUCCUAUGUGAUUUUCUCUGGCGUGUCACAUAGGGUCUAAAGCCAUUGGGUACAGAGUGGGAGAUCUG